UAAGCAUAUCAAUAAGCGGAGGAAAAGAACCCAACAGGGAUUGCCCUAGUAACGGCGAGUGAAGCGGCAACAGCUCAAAUUUGAAAUCUGGCGCAAGCCCGAGUUGUAAUUUGUAGAGGAUGCUUCUAGGUAGCGACCGGUCUAAGUUCCUUGGAACAGGACGUCAUAGAGGGUGAGAAUCCCGUAUGUGACCGGCCCGCACCUUCUACGUAGCUCCUUCGACGAGUCGAGUUGUUUGGGAAUGCAGCUCUAAAUGGGAGGUAAAUUUCUUCUAAAGCUAAAUACCGGCCAGAGACCGAUAGCGCACAAGUAGAGUGAUCGAAAGAUGAAAAGCACUUUGGAAAGAGAGUUAAAAAGCACGUGAAAUUGUUGAAAGGGAAGCGCUUACAACCAGACUUCUGGGCGGUGUUCCGCCGGUCUUUUGACCGGUCUACUCGCCGUCCCGAGGCCAACAUCAUCUGGGACCGCUGGAUAAGACCUCAGGAAUGUAGCUUCCCUCGGGAAGUGUUAUAGCCUGUGGUGAUGCAGCGCGUCUCGGGUGAGGUCCGCGCUUCGGCAAGGAUGUUGGCGUAAUGGUUGUCAGCGGCCCGUCUUGAAACACGGACCAAGGAGUCUAACAUCUAUGCGAGUGUUCGGGUGUCAAACCCCUACGCGUAAUGAAAGUGAACGGAGGUGGGAAGCGUAAGCUGCACCAUCGACCGAUCCUGAUGUCCUCGGAUGGAUUUGAGUAAGAGCAUAGCUGUUGGGACCCGAAAGAUGGUGAACUAUGCCUGAAUAGGGUGAAGCCAGAGGAAACUCUGGUGGAGGCUCGCAGCGGUUCUGACGUGCAAAUCGAUCGUCAAAUUUGGGUAUAGGGGCGAAAGACUAA
rnacentral:rRNA from 1 species